UAACAUAAUUUGUAAUUACAGUAGGGUUAGGUCAGUUGAUCAAUAGUAGUUUGUGCAGCAAGACUAGCAACAUGUCUCCUCUGCUCUGUAUCGCCGUGUUAGCUGUGUUACUUGAGGGAGGUGCAGGUGAGUAUGUGAAAACGCUGGUCUUAUGUUAAUUUGGGUUAAUGAAAUCAUUGAUUAGGCGUUUGCUCAUUUAGCAUUUUAAUUAAGCUUUAACUAAAGGUUUAAAAAUCGUUUAUAAUAAAAAGUUAAUUUUGCUUAUAAAAUCAAUAAAUCACUCUUUUUUUUAGCGUUUUCCUUUAUUAAAAUAUGUGUUGGUUAUAGUUAUAUCUAUGAGCAUAUCAUGUACAAAUGUGUAUAUUUCUGUGCAUUUGUCAGUGGAAUUUACCACUGAAAAAAAAGAAAUCUGAAUGAAAGGUCGAAGCGUAAAAUAACACAAAGAAAAUCUUAUCUUAAAGGGAAGUUGAAGUGGUAUUUUAAUAUCAGUA